rnacentral:rRNA from 1 species
AUGGUAGGAUAGAGGCCUACCAUGGUGGUAACGGGUAACGGGGUGUUAGGGCACGACACCGGAGAGGGAGCCUGAGAAACGGCUACCACAUCCAAGGAAGGCAGCAGGCGCGCAAAUUACCCAAUCCCGACACGGGGAGGUAGUGACAAUAAAUAACAAUACAGGGUUCUUUGAAUCUUGUAAUUGGAAUGAGUACAAUUUAAAUCUCUUAACAAGGAACAAUUGGAGGGCAAGUCUGGUGCCAGCAGCCGCGGUAAUUCCAGCUCCAAUAGCGUAUAUNAAAGUUGUUGCAGUUAAAAAGCUCGUAGUUGAAUUUCGGGAUCAAUACGUCGGUCGUGCUUUCGGGUACGUACUGGCGUCAUUGGUUUCUCCUUUCUGACGAACCAUGAUGUCAUUAAUUUGGUGUUAUGGGGAGUUAGGACUGUUACUUUGAAAAAAUUAGAGUGUUUAAAGCAGGCAUUAGCUUGAAUACAUUAGCAUGGAAUAAUGAAAUAGGACGUUCGAUCCUAUUUUGUUGGUUUCUAGGAUCAACGUAAUGAUUAAUAGGGAUAGUUGGGGGCAUUAGUAUUCAAUUGUCAGAGGUGAAAUUCUUGGAUUUAUUGAAGACUAACUACUGCGAAAGCAUUUGCCAAGGAUGUUUUCAUUAAUCAAGAACGAAAGUUAGGGGAUCGAAGACGAUCAGAUACCGUCGUAGUCUUAACCAUAAACUAUGCCGACUAGGGAUCGGAUGAUGUUAAUUUUUUAAUGACUCAUUCGGCGCCUUACGGGAAACCAAAGUGUUUGGG